rnacentral:lncRNA from 1 species
GGACCGACAGAUGAACGGAUGUCCUGCUUGCUGGGCUUCCCAUUACUGAUUCUUGAGACAUGAGGACCACUGACUGGUGAGGGAAUUGCCCUAUGAUGGAUGAGCCUGCCUCAACCUGCCAUAAGCUGGGAGGACCGACGGUUGACUGACUGUGCCUCUUGGUUGGCCAUUACCGAUUCUUGAGGUAUUUUUACUUGAAAAGAGACCAGGGAUAUGUAGGCCUACACUUAAAUUUG